GAACAUGGCUCAGGAUGAACGCUGGCGGCGUGCCUAAUACAUGCAAGUCGAACGCUUGCUUGAGGACUUGUCUUCAAGCGGGAGUGGCGAACGGGUGAGUAAUACAUAAGCAAUCUGCCCAUCGGCCUGGGAUAACAGUUGUAAACGACUGCUAAUACCGGAUAGGUGAUAGGGAGGCAUCUCUUGAUCAUUAAAGUUGGGAUACAACACGGAUGGAUGAGCUUAUGG
rnacentral:rRNA from 1 species